rnacentral:sRNA from 1 species
CGGACGCAAGCACGCACACACGCACUCCCAAGUAUAGGACCAAGCCGAAACAGGGUGGCAGAUACCUUGUAUUUAAGAGGAGAAUGAAUUUUAAAGGUCAGAGACAUGAGUCCUGGAUCUACUGGCUGCGUCCCAGCCUCUGAUUCUGUGAUGCUGGGAUGGGUGCUUUGCUCUUCAAGGUUUUUAUGAUAAAUGUUGUCUGGAACACUUUGUAAGGCGACUCAUAAGAUCCCUCUGUUUAUUACCUGGGAGCUACUUCAAAGGCCACUCAUUAGUCCAAAUGACGCACUAGCUGACGAUGACUCUGGGAUAUUAAUCGGGCUUGCCGACCUCAUCGUGCUCUAAGAAACCAAGACUUGAGGUCUUGAAUUCUAGUUUCAACACUUUGCGGACAGCGUUGAAUGGUCCUGCUACGGGACUCUGUAGCCAGAGCAGCGGAUGACGCAUCGUCACGCCCCCUGUCAGUACGUCCUGGUUGGAGCUAAGCACAGACUGUACUCUGCGCUGUUAACAGGGACUGCAGGCUGUGCCAGAGGUUCAUCUGCCAGCAGCUGAUUGAUGGGAUAAACAGAAGAGAGUGCAAGACAGACACGCCUUGCUUCUGCCUUUGGCAGGUGGUAAUCAAUCUACCAGCUUCCCAGAGGAAAAGACCCCGAACCUUGAAAUGGAGGAGGAGCCUCUCCCGCCAAGAUCUUAGCUGCGACACAAGAUCUCCUAUACUCAGGGGGAAAGCCACCGUGGGUCAGAGUGUGUUCUCCAAGGGUGGCGACGAAACCCCUUUUUAAAAAAUGUAUGUGGCUCCCGUGGAGGCAUUACUGUCCUCGGGUAUUUCUUGAGGUCUUCUUCCCUCCAGUGCCGGCUUUGUUUACUUAAAACUUCUUCUACAUUUUCUUUUCUGACCUCCCGCAUCUUUGGACUCUGUGGCCCAGUAGGCGUAUGUCUGACAGAACAGUAGACCCAGUCCGGGAAACACCUGAGUAUUUUCUUGUUCUGUAGAGGCUGGAAGUCCCCGCCACAGCUGCUGCCAGGUCCAGUUUCUGCUGGUGAAGCCAAUGAAAUAUGAGUCUCUGGGGACCCUGGAGGACUGUUGUUAGAAGGUACCUUUCUGUCAAGCGGAGUUAUACACGUGAUAAUUAGUGUCCGGCAAUUGAUCACUCAAAUCUUCUCUGAGAAAUUGCUGUAAUUAUGUGUUUUGUGUGCCUCUGCCAAGCUUGGGAUGAAUGAACACUCCAUGAAGAUCGCCUCAGAUUCUUUUGUAUCUGACAAAUGCAUGCCAUUCUAUGGACCUAGGGCUAAGGCCUGGACUCCUAUGCUAGCCAAGUGGGCUAAUUUUGAUUGUCAUCUUGAUCAGAUUAAGAAACAUCUAAGAGUUUCCUAAGUUUUACCAUGAGGACUCUAACCUAAUAGAUGGCUUAGUACGUCAUCUGAAUGGAUCCUUGGGGAAUGGUGAAGAACCCUGCCUCGCUGGAGGAAGCAGGCCUCUGGGGGCCACAUCUUGUCCUUAUCACUUCCUGUUCUGCUUCUCUCUUGUCUUCCACGGAGCCAACAGCUCCUUUCCACCGCAGGCUUCCAUUCUCCCCAAAUGUGUGGUUUUAAAUGACUGUGAAUAAAGUCUUCUGAAGCUGUGA